rnacentral:lncRNA from 1 species
GUCAACAAAGAACACGUAAGUGUCAGGAAUUAUAAUUCUUGAUGGAAACAAAGGUUCACUGAUAGUUUUUUGAUUGGUUUGUGACGCUUUUUAGUUGUCAACGCACAUUCCUUGACGACUAAUAACCCGUCAAGUUUGAGGGUACCUUUUAUUGACACUGGCACUCUUGACGCUUCUUGACCAGUCAAGAAAUGGUUAUGUUGACCCUUUUUAGCUGUCAACAAAGUGUGUUUUUCUUGUAGUGAAUAUAUGAGGUAAGCUUAUAUUCUAUAAUCCUAAAAAUAUCAAU